GAUGAACGCUGGCGGCGUGCCUAACACAUGCAAGUCGAGCGACCGGACGAGAAGCUUGCUCCUUUGAUGUUAGCGGCGGACGGGCGAGUAACACGUGGAUAACCUUCUUAUUAGACUGGGAUAAUUUCGGGAAACCGUAGCCACUACUGGCUCAUAUUUUGAACGGCAUGGUUCAAAAGUGAAAGACGGUUUUGCCGUCACUUAUAGACGGUUCCGCGCUGCAUUAGCUAGUUGGUAAGGUAACGGCUUACCAAGGCAACGAUGCGUAGCCGACCUGAGAGGAUGAUCAGCCACACUGGAACUGAGACACGGUCCAGACUCCUACGGGAGGCAGCAGUAGGGAAUAUUCCGCAAAGGGCGCAAGCCUGAUGGAGCAACGCCGCGUGGGUGAUGAAGGUCUUCGGAUCGUAAAGCUCUGUUGUUGGGGAAGAACAGAUGUGGAAGAAAAUGUGCACGUCUUGACGGUACCUAAACAGAAAGCCACGGCUAACUACGUG
rnacentral:rRNA from 1 species